GGGWGAAGUCGUAACAAGGUAGCCGUAGGGGAACCUGCGGCUGGAUCACCUCCUUUCUAAGGAAUGGACUCUCCCGAGCGAAGCUCUUUCGGUCGGAACAUUCCGUAUGGUCAAUCGACAUCUCGUUCACGACUAGAUGUCGUCAUUGCAGUUAGUUGCCGUACGCAUUCAAGCGAGUCGCAGCGCUACUAUUUAGUUUUGAGAGACCGGCAGCGAACCGGGCCUAUAGCUCAGUUGGCUAGAGCGCACCCCUGAUAAGGGUGAGGUCGGUAGUUCGACUCUACCUAGGCCCACCUUUGUCGGGCUUUCCUCGACGCGAGAAUGGCGGACGAGGGGCUGUAGCUCAGCUGGGAGAGCGCCGCCCUUGCAAGGCGGAGGCCGUCGGUUCGAUCCCGAUCAGCUCCACUCUGUCGUCCCCAACUUUUGGGGGAGAGGUGAGCGUGAUUUUUUCUUUCUUGCGGGUCUUUGACAAUUGCAUAUGGGUAUCUGGCUUGUGCAAACGCACUUGGUAGUGACGGCGAAAAAUUGAGAGGUCAAGCUACUAAGGGCGCAUGGUGGAUGCCUUGGGCCCCGAGUAGGCGAUGAANGACCUGCUUAAAGGGCGA
rnacentral:misc_RNA from 1 species